AGCGGAGGAAAAGAAACCAACAGGGAUUGCCCCAGUAACGGCGAGUGAAGCGGCAAAAGCUCAAAUUUGAAAUCCUGCGGGAAUUGUAAUUUGAAGGUUUCGUGGUCUGAGUCGGCCGCGCCCAAGUCCAUUGGAACAUGGCGCCUGGGAGGGUGAGAGCCCCGUAUGGCGCACGCCGACUCUUUGUACACCGCGGCUCCGACGAGUCGAGUUGUUUGGGAAUGCAGCUCUAAGUGGGUGGUAAAUUCCAUCUAAAGCUAAAUAUUGGCGAGAGACCGAUAGCGAACAAGUACAGUGAUGGAAAGAUGAAAAGCACUUUGAAAAGAGAGUGAAACAGCACGUGAAAUUGUUGAAAGGGAAGGGCUUGCAAGCAGACACGGUUUUACCGGGCCAGCGUCGAAAAGGGGGGAGGAACAAGAACUCGAGAAUGUGGCGCGCACCUUCGGGCGCGCGUGUUAUAGCUCGUGUUGACGCCUCCAUCCCUUUUCGAGGCCUGCGAUUCUAGGACGCUGGCGUAAUGGUUGCAAGCCGCCCGUCUUGA
rnacentral:rRNA from 1 species